CCCCUGUAGAUAUUGACAGCACAAGAGGAUAAUGGAAAGUACUUGCUCGGGAGUUUCUUCUUUCUGGAGAUCUGUAGUUGCUUCCUGCAGCCUGAAUCAAAAGUUGGAGUUCGCACUUGCCUCUCCUGGAAUGGUCUUCACAGCUCCUCCUAAGGAGCAGCAAAUAAUUGUUAUGCAGGGCUCAACCCUCAACCUUAGAGAGUGACAUGCAAAUACUUUGCAAACUGUAGCGAGUAGAAGUUGAGCAAACUGGCCGUAGCAGCAAAGGUAGUAGCAGCAAGUAGGUGGAAUAUGUGACAUGGUGAACUUGUAUUAGUUGUUCACGCAUGAAUUUCCGUGUGUGCGUGAGAUCAAUCUGUACUGUUUUUAAUAUUUAUCGAUCGUUUGGGGUUGUGGAUUGUAGAAACUGGUACAUUAUCUUACUUUCAGAUUGAUGUUCUGCCUGAAAUUGUUUCAGAGGAAAGCUAAAUACAUUUGUAAGAUCAGUACUUCA